GGCGGCGUGGAUAAGACAUGCAAGUCGAACGGGAUAUUUCUGGUAGUAAUACUAGGAAUGUUCAGUGGCGAACGGGUGCGUAACACGUGGAUACAUUCCGGGAAGCGGGGGAUAGCCCAGGGAAACUUGGAUUAAUACCGCAUGUGGUCGAGAGACUAAAGACGGGGACCGCAAGGCCUGUCACUUCCCGAUUGGUCCGCGGCCUAUCAGCUAGUUGGCGGGGUAAAGGCCCACCAAGGCUACGACGGGUAGCUGGUCUUAGAGGACGACCASCCACACUGGAACUGAGACUCGGUCCAGACACCUACGGGUGGCAGCAGUCGAGAAUCUUUCACAAUGGGGGCAACCCUGAUGGAGCGACNCCGCGUGGAGGAUAAGGUCUUCGGAUUGUAAACUCCUGUCAUGCGUGAACAAGGCUGCGAGGAUAAUACCUUUGCAGAUUGAUGGUAGCGCAAGAGGAAGAGACGGCUAACUCUGUGCCAGCAGCCGCGGUAAUACAGAGGUCUCAAGCGUUGUUCGGAAUCACUGGGCGUAAAGGGUGCGUAGGUGGCGUGGUAAGUCAGAUGUGAAAGCCCAGGGCUCAACCCUGGAAUUGCAUCCGAUACUGCUGUGCUAGAGUACUGGAGGGGUGACUAGAAUUCUCGGUGUAGCAGUGAAAUGCGUAGAUAUCGAGAGGAAUACCAAAGGCGUAGGCAGGUCACUGGACAGUUACUGACACUGAGGCACGAAGGCCAGGGGAGCGMRCGGGAUUAGAUACCCCGGUAGUCCUGGCAGUAAACGGUGCAUACUUGGUGUGGGAAGAUUCGACCCUUCCUGUGCCGGAGCUAACGCGUUAAGUAUGCCG
rnacentral:rRNA from 1 species